UGUAAGGUCACGGUCACAGGAGACUGGGCAACUCCAGUUCUCCCUGUCCCCAGCCCUUCGCCUGGCCCUGGCAAAAGCCCAUUGCAUCAACAGCUUCUACUGCUUCCGCCUGCGCCCUACCUGCCAAGCUUGGGCAGGAAGAGGGAAGGAAAGAGAAACUUUACGCCAAUCCCCCCUCUUCUGCUAACUUCCCCUCCCACCCUCGGGCCCUAACUAGCCCCGGGGACGCCUCCUCCCCACCAACGCAUCCAUCCCCAGAGGAACAAGUGAGGAUCUCAGAGCGCGACCUGGACAGGUCCCAUACAGAAAGAAGAAAGAGACAACCUGAAUCACAUUCAAAAGAGAGUCUCCACAAUAGUGAGGGCUGCAAAACCAUGUGACAUGAAAACCAAGAGAAUGAAUUACAUAGAUUUGUUUAACCUAAGGAAGAAAA
rnacentral:lncRNA from 1 species